CCCUUAGAUGUUCUGGGCCGCACGCGCGCUACACUGACUGCUCCAACAAGUUACCUGGGCUGACAAGCAUCCGGGAAAUCUUGCAAAGGCAGUCGUGAUGGGGAUAGAUUCUUGUAAUUUUUGAUCUUCAACGAGGAAUUCCUAGUAAACGCAAGUCAUCAGCUUGCAUUGAUUACGUCCCUGCCCUUUGUACACACCGUCCGUCGCAUCUACCGAUUGAAUGGAGAGGCAAAAUCUUCGGACCGUGACGCUUGGGAGUCAAAUCUCGGGCUGUCGUGGGAAGUGGAUUAAACCUUUCUAUUUAGAGGAAGGUAAAGUCGUAACA
rnacentral:rRNA from 1 species